CAAGUACUCCAUCCGUCCAACAAAAGAUGUCUCAAAUUUGUUAAAAUUUAGAUGUAUCUAGACAUGACUUAGUGUACAGAUGCAUUCAAAUUUGAGACAUCUUUUGUUAGAUGGAGGGAGUAUUAG
rnacentral:pre_miRNA from 1 species